CCCCUGAUCAAAGAUCCUAGAGGGACAAGAUAGACCACUCCUCGAAAAACGCGUAGUAUGACGUGUGUGACCGUCGACGCCAUAUUGUUAAGCAUUUAUUGGGCUGUAAUGGCGUCCUCAGCUAAAUCUACAUCUCACUGCUCCGCUAUCAACUGUUCUAAUCAUAAAUCUAAACGACCCAACCUGUCAUUCUUUAGGUUCCCCAAUAAAAAAGAAAGAUGUCAACAGUGGGUCCAGAAUACUCAUCGACAAGAUCUCCUGCACCGAACUGUCUUAUUUGUCAAAAAACUGCCGUCUUAUGUACAUUGUGUGAAAUUGUGAUUUAUUAACUGCACAAAACUAAUGCAAAUGGCGAUACAUGCCUGCAUUUGGCCCAUACCCCUCUAAACCUGUCCUAACCAUCAAAUAACCUAACAGAACUGUCAUGAGGAAAGAUUUAAAAGACUAGGCUUGUAUUCACUGGAGUUUAGAAGGAUGAGGGGAGAUCUUAUCAUAUUGUUUACAGUGUACUAUGUUUACAGAUUCUGUUGUGCUGCUGAAAGUAAGAAUUUAAUUGUUCUAUCUGGGACAAGCUAGAUGCAGGAAAAUUGUUCUACAUGACAAUAAAACACUCUUGUUAGAUGCAAGGGGAUCUCAUAGAUACAUCUAAAUGAAUAAAAGGACUGAACAAGCUAGAUACAGGAAAAAUGUUCCCAAUGUUGGGCGAGUCCAGAACCAGGGGCCACAGUCUUAGAACAAAGGGGAGGCCAUUUAAGACUGAGGUGAGAAAAAACUUUUUCACCCAGAGAGUUGUGAAUUUGUGGAAUUCCCUGCCACAGAGGGCAGUGGAGGCCAAAUCACUGGGUGGAUUUAAGAGAGAGUUAGAUAGAUCUCUAGGGGCUAGUGGAAUCAAGGGAUAUGGGGAGAAGGCAGGCAUGGGUUAUCGAUUGGGGCUGAUCAGCCAUGAUCACAAUGAAUGGCGGUGUUGGGUCGAAGUGCCAAAUGGCCUCCUCCUGCACCUAUUUUCUAUAUUUCUAAAACACUCAUCCAGCAAUCCUCGAGCCCACCAGCUCAUCCCGUAGUCAAUUCAUCAGCUUUUCCAUAAGAACUUCCAUCAGUUCUUGCAAAAGAAUGACAAUCAGCCAAUCUCGAUUACCCUCAGCCCAUCAAGCAGUCCCUUAAUUCGCACAGAAGUCUGAACUAUUGAAUGCUCACUGCAUCUCUUUCCAUGUCAGCAAGUUAAUAUCCAGCUGCAUAUGAACCAUGUGAAAAAUGAAUAAAUAGAUGCAUGUGGUGCAGUGAUUUGUGCAGCACUAUAGGCCUGGAGACCAAGAGGAGUUCACCAUUGAACGGAGUUUGAACGGGGGGCUUGAGGCCCCCGACCGAGGAAGAACAAAAGGAAGGGACUUGAACUUUAUUUCGCCUUCCAUCACAGUGAGGAAUGUGUAGGAGUCACUUUGGUGAAUGUCCGUAUUAAAAUGUGUUUUUGAGUGCUGUUGCUUUUAAUUGUAUGACUGACCUGGCCAAUGAAAUUCCUCGUAUAUUGCAAAACAUACUUGGAAAAUAAAAUCUGAUUAUGAUUCUGAAAA